CCUACGGGUGGCAGCAGUGGGGAAUAUUGAACAAUGGGCGCAAGCCUGAUGCAAACACGCGACUUUUCUUAAUCCGUCCUUCUUUUUGUACAUUACUUUCAGUCGUUCUUACAAUGAUAAAGAACAUAACCUUAGCAAUUGACGUUAGCGACAGAAGAAGCACCGGCUAACUCCGUGCCAGCAGCCGCGGUAAUACGGAGGGUGCGAGCGUUAAUCGGAAUUACUGGGCGUAAAGGGCACGCAGGCGGUUAAUUAAGUUGGAUGUGAAAUCCCCGGGCUUAACCUGGGAAUGGCAUUCAAGACUGGUUAGCUAGAGUCUUGUAGAGGGGGGUAGAAUUCCAUGUGGUGCGGUGAAAGUGUUUUAUGUGAUGAGUUAGUAAUGUGGCUAUGGCUUCCCCCUGGAUUAAGUCUGCUGUUCUGGUGCGAAAGCGUGGGGAGCAAACAGGAUUAGAUACCCUAGUAGUC
rnacentral:rRNA from 1 species